UUUGCUGAAAAACAUGGAUAUCAGACAUUGCACCUAUGGCAAGGACAAUACUAGAAAGAAACAAAGAGUAUUCUAAUAACUGUAAAGUUCAAUGGAAUGGGGUGAAUGGUUUUGAAAUUAGUGAGGGGGGAUAUUCAUUUGUUGUUAACUUGGAGAAGAAGCAUUGUGACUGUAGGUUGUGGAUGUUGAGAGGUAUUCCUUGCCCUCAUGCUAUUUGUGCAUAUUAUUACUUGAAUCAAGAUCCUGAUCAACAUGUAGAGCACUAGUAUAAGAAAAAAACAUUUCUCAAGGCUUACAACCAUUUCAUCCAACCUAUUCCCAAUAUGAUGAUGUGGCCUGAAACUACAAAUUCAUCAAUAGAGCCUCCAAAAUCAAAAAAAAUGCCAGGCAAACCUGGCAAGAAGAGAAGAAAGAGUAAGGAUAAGCCAAAAAAAUAUGGGAAACUUUCAAGAAAAGGAGUAAAGAUGACAUGUCCCAUAUGCAAGAAAAUUGAUCAUAACAAAGUUGUGUGUGCAAAAGUAAGUAAUAAUUCAUAUUCACAUUUGUAAAUUGCUUAAAGUUUAUAUAUAUUAUAAUCAUAUUAUUAUAUUUUGUGGUGACAUAGUAUGAGAGGGGGAGCACUUCUCAACCUGAUAGUCAGAGAAAUUUAAGUCAACAAAGUUAUUUUCAAACAGGAGUAAGAUUUGAUUUACAUAUUCAUUUGCAUUUAAUUUUUAUUGUACAAGUUAUUCAUAUCUCCUUAUUUCUGUUCAACAGGUUAGAAACAAUCAAGUCAACAAAGUUCUGUUACCACUGUUGUGCCAAGAACUACUCAAACAGGAGUAAGAUUAAAUUUAAAAAUUCAUUUGCAUUUACUGAUUGUUCUACAAGUUAUCCAUAUAUCCUUAUUUAUGUUAUAUAGUCUAUAAUGGGAGGUCCAUUACACUCUACUUUCAGAACCACAUAUGCAACUACACAAUCAAGUCAACCAAGCUCUAUUUGUGUUGACACAGCAUAUGUGCCAAGACCUCCUCAAAAAAGGGUUCAAGUUGGGACUGGGAAGAAAAAAAGCUAAUGCAAGAGGGAUCACAUUUGUUACUGAAAGAGAUAAUUCUUUUAGUCAACUGUUACCUUUAUCAGGUCACAAGAGACCAUACAGUUCUGCCUCAUUUGUUGCUGCUACUGGAGGAAACAGAAGGCUUGCAACUGAUUUUGGUGUUUACUUUGAUCCUACAACUGGAGCCCAAAUAUUUAAUGUAUGUUCACUUAAUAUGUUUACUCUGUUUUGUUGUAUAUUCUGAUAGCCAUAUUAUGAUCUUACCUUAUCUUAUACUUUUUUUCUUCUAUUACAGCCUGGUACAUCAAGUGAGAAGAUUCCACAUGGGCCAACAAAAUUGAAGAGUG
rnacentral:lncRNA from 1 species